UUGACUUGGAUCAUCUACUCAUCGAUCUGUAAACGUGCAUCAAGAUGUCAGAUAACUACUCAUGGAAAUUGGUUAUGCUCCCAGACAAAGAAACCAAAAUAAACCAGGCCUUUGAUCAGCAAGCAGUCAGCACGACCCAGAGGCAGAGAGAUACCGAAGUAUAUGGAGGGGGGCACAGCUGUCUGCAACUCCAGCUCAGGUGAUCUGACACCCUCUUUUGGCCUCCACGGACAGCUAAACGCACACAGUUGCAGAACGACCCAGAUCAUCGGUGGAUAUUCAGCAUGACCUCAUCAAUGCAAGCAGUGCCCAGACGAAGAAUGAGGACAUCAGCAGCCCCACCCCCACCCCCUUGGUAUCUCCCAGCCUCUUUCAACCACUGGCCAAACAAGGAGCCUCUAUCCUGACCUUUAACAUCGAAGAUUGGUUUGGGCUGGUUUUGAGUUGACAUAAAUGGGAUUGCCCAGUACACAUUCCUGUCUGGAUUCUUUGCUCCGCCUUAUGUUUUCCAGCUUGGCCUGUGUUUUGCAGAGCAAACCAUUCAUUUUCCACAGUGCAGUAGAGCGUUCUACACUUCCAGAGUGUGGAACACAAUUAAGAGUUCAUGGAGAAAGAGAAGAGCUGGAGAGUGAGCGAG
rnacentral:sRNA from 1 species